AUCUCCAGGAGACAACUGAUGGAUUUACUCAGCAGAGAUAUCUAUGUGGGCUGGCCUGGUCACACACAUGAUGCUUAUGUGUUAGCCAACUUGCCCAUCUACUAGAAAGUUGAAGAUCAAGUAUCUUAACAGACAAAAAAAGGCUGUGAUCGCUGUAUGAAAUACAUCUACAUCACUCUAUCCAAAGAAAUCAGCGACUGUUAGGUGUGGUGAGAUCCUUGUGCACAUUGCUGGAGACCUUGCGGACCCUCUCAGAGAGUGGCUGAUGAAGGGAUUCACACACCACCAUGCUCUUACUACACAACCGCAAAACUUAUGUAACCGGUUAAGCUCAGCAAGGAUGGUGGUGGAGGAUGCUUUUGACCAUCUGAAAGGUCGUUGGACGUGUCUGCCUAGAAGAAAUGAUAUAUAUAUAUACGGUUUUUGUGUCUGAAAUUGUUGUUGUCUGUUGUGUUCAACACAAUAUCUGUGCAAUUAAGAAAGACCAUUUCUUACCAGAAUGGAGCAUUGAGCAACGAGAGUAACCUGACUUUUCUCUGAACCUGACAGAAUUGCUUUUCAGGGCGCACAGGCAUAAGGUCACCCAGCCAUUGUGAUGCAAUAAUGUCUAUUUUAUGUCCUGUUGUGCUGUAUUAUUUGCCUUGUCUAUUGCACAAUUGUGAAAAGAAAUAAAGGAGAGAUGCUCAAGUGAAGGUGCUUUAUUUAGAUUAAAGUGAUAUGUAAAUAUAACUUACC